AAUAAAGAAGAAAAUAUGGAAGAAGAAGAAGAAGAAGAUAGAUACAUACCCUGAACCAAAGAGUAUGAUCUGCCUCGGAAAUAUGUACUUGCCAAAUAUCUUCAUCUCUCUCUCCCUCUCUCUCUCUCUCUCUCUAACUGUAGACACAGAGGCGAUGAUAUAGGAUGAAGGAGAGAAGACGAUCUGGAAGAGGGAGGCGACGAUACAGGACGAAGGAGAGGAGACGACCUGGACGAUCUGGAAGAGUGAACUGACGAGAUGUCAAGUUCAACUAUUAACGGAGGUACCUCAGAUCAGUUGACGUUCUACAACAGAAAUUGCCCUAAAUGUCAUAAGAAAGCAACUAUUCAAAUUUCAGAGACGGAACAAAACAGAAACAAAUUAUUUUAUUGUUGUAAAAAUUGCGGCGAUUUUAUGGGAUGGUGCUUGCCUACAAAUUCACAAGCUAGAGGUAAAGGAGUAGUGCAAAUGGAAAAUAUGUCAACUGUCAUCGAACAACAACUUCGACUUAUGAAUGAACAACUUCGAUUUCAAAGCGAAGAACUUCAAUUUAUGAGGGCGAAGAUGCUUAAGUUGGAAACAGACAUAAAUCAAAAUUCGAGUCGUAUUUAUGGGUUGUAUAUCUUGCUUGUAAUUGGGAUCGUGUUAGUUAUAAAAAUGUAAUAGUUUUGUAAUCUUUGCGACCCAUGGAAGCUAGUGGCAAUUUGUAUGGUUAUGUAAACUAUAUCUUUGUAUGGUUAACUGGACUUGUUAAUUUUGUAUGGUUAUAUGGUUAUGUAAUGACACUUGGUUAUGUUGUUCAUUUUGUC